CUUUCUCUCGCCAUGCACAAAAGUUAAUUCAAAAUGGAUCAAGGAGCUUGAUAUCAAAUCAGAGACACGCCGUCUGAUAGAAGAAAAAGUUGGCUACGAUCUACAUACUGUGGGGUCGGGCUCCAAAUUCCUCAAUAGGACACCCAUAGCACAAAAGUUAAUAACUGGAAUCAACAAAUGGGACUUACUCAAACUAAAAAGUUUUUUCUCAGCAAAAGAUACAAUAAGAGAGGUAAAUAGAGAGCCUACAUCCUGGGAACAAAUCUUUACUCCUCACACUUCAGAUAGAGCCCUAAUAUCCAGAGUAUACAAAGAACUCAAAAAAUUAGACAAUAAGAGAACAAACAACCCAAUCAACAAAUGGGCCAAGGACCUGAACAGACACUUCUCAGAGGAGGACAUACAAUCAAUCAACAAGUACAUGAAAAAAUGCUCACCAUCUCUAGCAGUCAGAGAAAUGCAAAUCAAAACCACCCUAAGAUACCAUCUCACUCCAGUAAGAUUGGCAGCCAUUAUGAAGUCAAACAACAACAAGUGCUGGCGAGGAUGCGGGGAAAAGGGUACACUUGUACAUUGCUGGUGGGACUGCAAAUUGGUGCAGCCAAUUUGGAAAGCAGUAUGGAGAUUUCUUGGAAAGCUGGGAAUGGAGCCACCAUUUGACCCAGCUAUUCCCCUUCUCGGUCUAUUCCCUAAAGACCUAAAAAGAGCAUGCUACAGGGACACUGCUACAUCGAUGUUCAUAGCAGCACAAUUCACAAUAGCUAGACUGUGGAGGGGUCUUUCUAAUACAGAGUUAUUUUUAAAAACAUGAAUAUCCUUAGGGACUUGUUUGGGGAGGUCAUUAGUGGAGAAAAGAAUCAGGGUAAUAUUUUUCUAAAACAUCUUUAUCAUUGGUUUUGAUUUUAUGUUUAAAUCAACAAAUUGUUUCUCUUGCAGUCCUCAUGGUUGAUAGAAAGACUAUCAUAUGAACCUCAGAUGGUAAAUGGAAUUGAAAGAAUGACUCUAGCAUUUAUCCAAAGGCAUGAUCCGAGGGAUGAAAAGGGACAGAAGUCUCCAUGAACAGGGCAAGAGACAAGCAAGCCAUGUGUGACCAGGUGGUGGUAUCAGAAGUAUCUAAUUUCCUGUUAGGAUUAUAACAUGUGAAGCUUGUCAAGCACAAGAGCCCCACUUACAGAUCUUGUGUUACAGGUUUCCAAAGACUGUGCAGCAAGCACACCAGCCAUAUAAUUCACCUAAAUUAAUUGUUAGACUUCCAGAGUAUUAUGUGCUUUGGUGAUUUUCAGCCUGGGAUCUUUCUGCUGCAUCUAUUGAGGAGCCCUCCAGAGAGUCGGCCACAGCACUGAGCCUUAGGAGGUGACAUUUGCCAUCUUUAGGUCUCAGAAUCACCUUGGUAUUUUACCUCGUAGUCCUGUCGAGGACAGGUCACCUGAAAAUGAAAUUCUGAGACACAAGAAGAAGAUGGGCUAUAAAGAAAAUGUCCCUCUUGCUCAAGGGAUAAACUCAACUCAAAGGGGUGGGAAGAACACUGUUGCAGAGUGAUAUUUUAAUAGAUGAUCCUCCCCCAUUGCCUGCAGCUCCUGUUGCCUCUGCUUCUAUCCACAACCCCAUUAAAAGAAGUUUCACCAGAGAUCAAGGAAAAAAAAAAGGCUUUUGAUUUUCAAAAGGCAAGACCCUGAGGGCACUUGGCAUUGAAACUGUAUGAUGAUUUGGAGCAAGGCUUCUAGCCCUGGUUGGACAUAAGGUUUUCCAGAUGUGCUAUUAGGGCAGUAAGGAUAGGGCUGGGUCCAGGGAAGCAGACAGAGCAGGUAAAUGCUGGUGUGGAGAGGAGAAGAAGAGGGAAGAGAAGACAGAGGGAUAGAGGGGAAGCAGAGGGCAUUGUUAGAUGCCCCUGGCCCCUCUCUUCUUUGAGAAACAGAUUCCAGACCCAGAUCCCCAGAAGGGAAAGUCCUGGAUGACAGAAAACCCAGAUGGUUUGAGGUUCCCAUCACUUCCCAAGUAGACCCCAAGAAGACUGAAAAACCCCAGAACAGAAAUGAAUAAGUGGUGUGUAGAGGACAGAUGGUCUGAGCUGGCCCCAAGGGAUUGAGCACAUCUGGCACAGUGUGCAAGUGUUAGGAUGAAUCCUCUGUGCUCUGCCAUCAGCAUAGUAAUAAAGGACCCAGAGCUUCCUAGCAGCCCUGUGGACAGAAAGCAGUGCAGUCAAUCCUCCUGUGUCAGCGGCUGAGAGAGAGUGCUGUACCUGAAGUCUCAGACUGGGCAACAGCUCAAUAGCAAGACUUAUAGGAACCAGAGGUCUCAGGCAUGCUGGUGCAGAGCCAGCAUCACACAGAGCUGGGCCUGCCUCCCCCCAUUCCCCUGCUCCAAUGCAGCCCCUGGGACAAGGGUUGAGGAAGCAGCAUCGAGUGAAGUUAUGGUUCUGACACUGGAUCUAGGCCCCCAAUAGAAAAGUCAUCAUGGAAAAAUAAAGUUAUAUCUCUUGUGCAAUUGGCUGUAUGGAUGGAGAUGUGAACUCAAAGGUGAAACCAUGCAAUUAAUCAAUAAAUUAAAACAAAUCAAGCACACCUGACACAACCACUCAGCCCCUCAUCUUUGGAAUUUGGAAUUUUGUGAAUCUCAGCAAAAUCUUGACCAUUGCUAUGUAGCUAGAUUAAGCACAGCCUUUCAGCUUAUUUCCUGCAGGCAAUGUGGCUGUCAGUGUCCUAGGAGCUGUCACUGUUUUCAACCACUGAGCCCUUGAAACAACAUCUGAAAUUAGGUAUCAUUCCAUUUGAUUGAUAAGUAAUUGUGCGCUCAACAAAAUGAAAUUGGAGGGACCGGCAUCUCCUUUGUGAAGUUUGGUGGAUAAGGCUGCGAAUGAUUCCUUCUUCCCCCAACAGCAUUUCCCUUUUCCUGUCCAUUCCUUGCCCUUUCUGCACCUUUACUCAAACUGCUCCUACUACUCAUACUGCACCUCUUCCCUGUCCUUUUGACAUCUUCCAUUUUCCAAGGCACAAUUCAAGUUUCAUCUGUUCCCAAACAGUUUUUCAGCCCUCUUCAUUAUUAUUAUUUUAUCCAUCUUCCUGGGGUGGUGGUUGUUGUUGUUUGUUCUUUUUAGCACUUCACAGACACUGGCCUGUUAUGAAAAUCAACUUUGCAUGGAGGGUUUGUGUCAGCUCUGGGUUGUGAACCCACAUGAGUUUCAUCUUGUGCAUCCAUAGCACCCACCAUGAAUUUGGUAUCCUAGCCUGGCAGAUAUUUUGGUAAUUGGAAUAUAAUAAAGCAUUAAUGCAUAUUUGUCAAACAAAAUUGAAUUUAAAAUUAUAAAACACAAAGGUAGUGAAGCAUGAGACAGAUGCUUAAAAGAAUUUUUAACUGAUCACGUCUUUGAUUCCCUUAUUGCUUUUCUUCUUUUUCCCCUAGUUAUUUAAAAAAAAAAUUUCAAGCAUAUAAAACAAGUUAAAGAAUUGUUCAGUGAAAACUCCUACAAUAAUCACCUAGCUUUUGUAAUAUGUAUUCUGUAGUGUUUAUCUGACUAUAUCUCUCCAUCUAUCCAUCUUUCUAACCCACCUCUCUGACUUUCAAAUAUAUUUAAUGUUUGAUAAACCUUUGGAAUCAGAUCUGGGAUUUAUUCCUGAAUUCAGCCUGUACUUACUGUGUGACCUUGGCUGUAUGUUUAACCUUUGUCUAUUUUCCUGUCUGCAAAAUAGGGAUGGACAAUAAUGCCUACUUCAUAGAGAGGGGUGGAGAAUCAAUGAGAUAGGGCAUGUAAAAGGCCAGGCACAGUGUGUGUUCAGCACAGGGUAGCAGGAGGAAAAGCAGAGGUGUUUCAAGUCACUGGCACUGAUCUGCAAAGAUAAAUGCUUCUGAUGUUUUUGCUUCCAGUCUCUGUUUUAGGUCCAGAAGGAAAAGAAAUUGAUAGGAGAUGAUCAAUUUUAGCCUCUUCUUGGUUGUGAGUGAGAGGUCCCUGGAUCUACCAGCAGCCUGGAGACCACUUGAAGGGAGCUUCAUCGUUUGUCCUCACCACCACACCUACCUGGCUGUCACCACGGGUCAGGCCCAACAAGAAGCAUCUUUGUUCAAAACAGAAAGACAUUUAUCACUGCAACCAGGGCACCUUAAAGGAAAAAGGAAAUUGAUGAUGGUAUAAAAGAAGGUCAUCGUAUUGGAAAAGAAGUAUAAAAAAAGUGGAAAUCAUGAAGCUGCAAAAGAACUCAGCAGAAAUAAAGAGAAAAAAUACCUGAUUUCUGAGCACAUUUUAUAUCCUGAACCAUUUUAUAGAAAUGAAGGAACUAAUUUAUUUUUAUAACACUUUCCAAGUGUCACACAGAAAGUUUUUAUGCUUCCAAGUACUCGGCGAGCCCCAUGGGAACACAUUCAUUCCAACUGAAUGAAUGAUGAUCAGCAAGGCCAUUUACCCUGUCUGCUGUGGCUGAUUGCCAGAAAACACCAGAAACAAAGGUGAGGUCUCUUUAGAUCAGCUAGCCUACAGUACAACCACAGGAACCUGAGUAAGCCCAGGAGACAUCAGCUGGACUGCAUCCACAUCAGCAGAACUUCUCUGCUGACCUCUGAUACUGUCUUUAAUUACCCUGGAAUUGCUUUGCACCUGCGACUGGGACUGUUCCAGAGGGUCCCCUCUCAGAGCUGUGUUUUCCACUCUGUUGGUCUGCGUCUCAUCACCUCUCCUCAGGGCAAGGACAGGGAGUUGUGCACAAAAGUAUCUGUCACAAGAGAAGCUGACAGCCAAUUACUAGAAGAAGCAAUGCUGGAUUAUAACCCAUCUUGUAUGUUCAUGCAUCUAUCAGGAUGUAUUUCAUGAGUACAGAAUGGAAAGAGCAAAAAGGAGUAACUUUAUGCUGGAAAAACCUGUCAGGCACUGUUCCUUAGCCAGAUGAUCAAGGUCAACAUCAGUAGUGAUGACUCAGGGAGCAGCUGGGUUUCCCCAUAAGCAUGUCUGGUACAGAUGACAGGCUACAGUGGUCAGCAAGGAAGGAAUCGUACCCCAGUACCUAGAUGGACUUCAGUGAGGAGGUAGAUAAGUGAAGGAGCCCUGAUUGAUGGCACUUGGUUUGGAAAUGGUCCCAGCAGUGGGAACAGUCACAGCCCAGACCAGAGGCAUGUCCAGUUAAAUCAGGCUGCCCAGAGAGAGGACCUGAAUCUUCUUUUUAAUGGGAGCAGCCGAACUUCUUCAGUCAAAAGCAGGUUUUUCAUCUGUAAAAUGGAGCUAGUAUAGAACCUUCCUGUGGUGAUGAAGAUUAAAUGAGGACUUCUGAAUGACCAUCACAGUCAUCUCUCUAGUGACCUUUCAGUGGCUUAACAUUUUGUUGCAAUGUACAAGUGAAGCUGGAAAACCGAGCCAAGUGACAAACUGUGAAGUAACAGCUCAGCCUUCAUAGAGUGGAUGUGCUCUGUGCUAUUUCUGGCCAGAGCAGAUGUGGCCUUGAUGGACAGUGGGAACAGCCUCUCUCAGGAAAUGCCAGUUGGAAUUUACCAAAGUGAUUGUAUAAUCCAAUGAAGCUUCUCCACUGACAAUCUGAAAAAACAUUGAUCUGGGAUACAUGCGUAAAUAGGGACUUACUGGGUCAUAGAUUGUGCCCAUUAUUGUCAAACUGUAAGUUUUGGCUCAUCCACUUAAUAGAACUGUAUGAUUUGGGAAAAGUUUCUUCAAGGGCACUCUCUCUUGUGACAGUCAGCAUUCUCCAAACCUGACAGAUACAGGUUUCCAGUUCCUUUUACAGGGAAUGUGGCAUCUUUCCAUAUGCCUCAGUUAUAGGCGGACACAACAUCUUUGUUUGUAUGUGGUGCUGAGGAUCGAACCCGGGCCGCACGCAUGCCAGGGUGGAGGAACCUGGGAACCUGACCUUUGAAUAUCAUCAGCCAUAUUGGCCACUGCCAUGUAGAGCCUGCAUCUUGGAACCAGUCUAGUCAUCGCUGCAAGAACUCACCAGAUUUCUCUCUCACGUUCCCUAAUAAAGGGCUUUUAGUCUCUGCACAGAUGGGAAUUCUGCUUCCCCCCUUCUCAUUUCACACUUCCUGUACUUUCUUUGCUAAGUAUUCAACUUCCCAAAAUAGAACACAGUUGUUUGAAUCUGUGUGAAGGAAUUUCAUUGGAGAGUAGACAAGGUAUCUGUAGCUCCCAAUAAUUACCACACCUGAGUUAAUUUUCUUAUUGGUUAUAAAACAGAUAAAGGAUACAGAAGAGGGCUCAGAGGCCUCUCAAAGAACAGCAUUGGGUUUUCUUUCAUGAGAGGACCCAUGAUGGAGCAGGGCAUUAAUGCCAAAGUGUGAACAAUGAGGAAGGAGAGGACAGGAACUUUUGUCUGGUCAGCCACCCACUGGUUUCCUUUAUGAAUCUCAUAUUCUCAUGAGGUCUUCUUCUGAUUGUAUCUCCCCUUCCUCUCUACCUUAUUUCAUUGAGCUUCCAUAUUCCUUUCUGCCUAAAUGAAUUCUCUUCAUCCUUCAAGGUCUAGUUCAAAUCUAACCUCUGCUGGGAAGACUUCCUGGAACUCUUGACCUAGAAGUGAUUUCCCUGUUGUCCUCUUGUAUUCCAGACCUUUACCCCAGUUCUCAAUCAACGAUGCACAAUUCCCUACAGUAUACACUGCCCUUCCAGAAGGCCAAGGAGAUGGGUCCAUAGCAGGGGACUCUUCACAGAUAAUGGGGAACUGAAAGUGGAUCAGAAAGGGAAAACACCUGAACUCUAUAAAACAAGAACACUAUAAAUGAAUUAUUAAAAUAAUUCAUUUAAGGAUCCCAUAUAUGGUUACCACCUUGCCUCGUCAUCACCAAAUUCAUUGAGACCUUGGUAAGGAAAGAGGCAAAUGGAAAUAAGAGAAAAAAAGAAGUGAAGAGAGGUGUUCUAGAUGCAGACAACCUUGCAGUCCUGAGUCCUGGGUCCACCAUUUAUCAGAACAGCUUUGCACAAGGUUCUAGGAUCCCUAUUUUAUAGGGCAUGGCAACAUGCUAAAGGAGGAUGGAGCCCUUCCCCCAGCCAGAAGGAAUGGAGGGUAGUCAGCUUAUGUCAAGCAUGUAAAUUUUAUUUUCCUUUCCCCAUGAUUGCUUUGGGAAUGGGAAAGGGACCCAGUUCUGAGUAAUAAGAUCAAAUGGACAGUCUAGUGGUGGGUUCGACUCAGAAGCUUUUUUGUUUCCUGCUAUAAAGAGAAGCAGCAAGUUCCCUCCUCCAUGACUUAAAUGCAAUUAUGUAUGAAUGUGGUACCUGGAGCUGCAACAAUUAUUUUGUGAUCAUAAGCCAACAAUCCAAAGAGCAAAAGUAGAACAAUAACAGAACGUGGAGUUUUUGAUGAUAUUAUUGAAUUGUUGAAUUAAUUUAGAAUAAUCUAUAUCUAGACUUUCCAUGAUUUGUGAGAUGAUUAAAAUUUUCUAUUGUUGUAGCCAGUAUUUUUCUCUUACAUGCAACCAAAAACAUCUUGUGUCAUAUAAACACUAUCCAACUUGUGUUGUAAUUUGUCCAUUUUCACAUUUGUAAGUUCUAUUUUUAUUGAUUUUUGUAUUCCUAGCACUGAGUAUAAGACUGGCACUUAGUAAGACUUUAACAAUUGAUUGAAAAGGUGUUAAAUGCAGGAUUCAAUUUUAGGUUCUGUGAAACUCUGAUUGUCUCAUUUCAAAUUCAUUUCUAUUACUAGGAAAAAAGAAUUAUUGAGAAGCACUAUGAAAAAUGUCCACAAUAAAAACAUACAGUGUUACCUGUCAUAAAUAUAUAAAUAAUUACUGGUAUAGUAGCUACUGCUGAGAAAUGUCUCUUGAAGAUUCCCAGAAAUUCCUGUCAGUCACAUUAAGACCUGUCUCUGGUGAUCAUUCCUUCUGGACCCAAAUCAGUGUACAUAGCCAUGGAGUAUUUAAAGUGAUAUUGCUCUAGAAAACCUAGGAUGUGUGUUUUGUACAUUUAGUAAGGAUUUCUUUAAUAUCUUCUACUUACCAGGCACUUCAUUAAGCACUGGGGAUGAGAAAUGAACCACCACUCGGCCCUUAUCCAUGAAAAGCUUAAGUGCCAAUACAAAGCUACUGACCUACAUGGAAGUGGUCACAAAUCUCAUGCCCAGUCCUCUUAGAAUAGCAUGGUGUUACCACUGAGUUAACUAAGAAAACCGAAUUCUUAGGCAUUUAUCUUUGACGAUGUUCACAAAAUGGUGAAAUGGAAAUUUCCCAGGCUCAGCCUUCCUGAGCCGAGUCUGUUUUGGAAGGUGACUUUCUGCUGUAGUUGCACUCAGCCUUCAACAUGAACCUCUCAUCCUCUAGAGGCACUCCUAGCCCAGAGUGUGCCCUCUGCAUGGUUCUCCCAGAAUAGCUAUUCCAAGAGGAAAAGGGGUUUGGGUGAAUAUUUGAGAAGAUUAUGGGUAGUGCCUAGCUUCCCUACCAAUCAGCACAUACAAAGAAAAUACCAAUCCGAGCCCAUUCUCCUCCUAGCCAACCAAAGGAGGCCAGAGCUCUUGUGCUCAGCACCAUUGGUUCCCCAGGCUCAAGAGCUCCUCUCAGUCCCACAUGGAGUUUAAGUGCACAAAAACACCAAACUUAGAACUAUUAAUUUCCUCACUAAUCUGCCUUUUGUAGAAAUUGCUGGAAACUGGCUUUUCUAUCCCUCUCCCCUAACAUGAGCCUUCCCACCAUCCCUUAAAGACAUUUUUCUCUUCUCUCCUGUCAUUAAGCUUUUAGAGAUGUCCUGGCCUUCUGCUAGUUGCUCCAGUUGUAUUUUUUCUCCUUGAAGAGGCAUGGAUACCAAAGCCUUACUGGGAAUGAAUCCUAGUUCCUCCACUGAACAGCUGUCGGAUUCAAGUUAGGAUCACUCCCUGUGGCUCAGUUUCUACAUCUAUAAAAUGGAAAUUUACCACCUUUGCUCUCAGAGUUCCCAUCUUGGGCUUCCAGCUUGCAUCCUUGACCCCUUCUGAGCUGACCUCCUACAGUCACCCUUCACCACACAGACUCAUGUUUGUGGAACCACCAAGUGUAACCAUCGCUAUAUUCAAGACUCAUCUGCACCUGGUUUAUGGGAAAAAAGUUUGUGGGGAAAAAGUCUUAAAACUGUGUAUGUACUAUAUGUGCCUUUUUAUGUACAGAUGU